CUGGAAUCUUGCAGGAACAGACCUUCCUUAGCAGCCUGGCUGCACUCAGUCACUGGCUGGGAGCAGCCUGUGGGAAGCCUGGCCUCAGUGCACUCACAGUGGUGGAUUCAGAACCCAGCAGUAAUUACAUUUUCUGCAGCAAGAAGUCUGAGUGGUGCAUUUUCAAGGCCGUCACACAUGCUUUGUUAGCAAAGGGUCAUCUUGGGCUGCUUGUGUCCCUGAACGAAAGGUCCAUGAUCCUCUGACCGUGGCCUUCUCUUCACAACUCCCUCCAUCUGCUGAUGUCUAGGUGAAGUCAGUCAUGAAGAAGCAUUCUUCCACGGGCUGCAUCCUCAGAGACAACGUGACCUGAGACACAUCCGAAUCCUUCUGAUUUCCUUAUCAUGGUCACGCUCCUGCGUUCAGAAUCUUCGUUGUGUCUGAUCAUGAAUUAUUGACAAAGUUCAUUAAAAAAUUUAAUUUGCUUUGCAGUAGGUUUGCUAAUGAUCUAUUUCAGUUUCAUUAUCAUUUCCACUUGCAAAGUGCAUCUAUUUCUUUUGUGAAGAAUUACCCAUUUGUAGUCUCGGAGCCUUUCUUUUAAACUUUUUAUUUGUGUUUAUUUUUAUUUUUAAAGCACGUUAUUAUGGAAUAUUUUUAAACAUUAUAAAUUGAGAGAUUAUAA
rnacentral:lncRNA from 1 species